AGGGGCGUAGCUCAGUUGGUAGAGCGGCGGUCUCCAAAACCGCAGGUCGCGGGUUCGAAUCCUGUCGCCCCUGCCA
rnacentral:tRNA from 1 species